UCAAUGAGAGGAUUGGUAUUAAUUUCCUCAUCAUUUGAUUGACUGAUAAUCAGCUUUCAUCAUUUCAUAGGUGGCCUUUUAUAGAGGAGAAAAUAUAUGAACCCAGCAGCCACCCCAAAAAUUGUCUGCUGAAACAUCAUGUUUCCAGAUAAAAGAAUCAUUUAAUGACUUGCAAGGAAAUCAAAAUGGAAAGAGGAGAGAAUAUAUGGACAGAAAUAUUUUUACAUUAGCACAAGAAGCUGCAUGGCAGAUUUAGAAAGAAGAGUGAUUUCUCAGCAAAAU
rnacentral:lncRNA from 1 species